UACAGAGGUCUCAAGCGUUGUUCGGAUUCAUUGGGCGUAAAGCGCACGUAGGCGGAUUGCUAAGUCAGGGGUGAAAUCCUGGAGCUCAACUCCAGAACUGCCUUUGAUACUGGCGAUCUCGAGUCCGGGAGAGGUGAGUGGAACUGCGAGUGUAGAGGUGAAAUUCGUAGAUAUUCGCAGGAACACCAGUGGCGAAGGCGGCUCACUGGCCCGGUACUGACGCUGAGGUGCGAAAGCGUGGGGAGCAAACAGG
rnacentral:rRNA from 1 species